rnacentral:rRNA from 1 species
GAUGAACGCUGGCGGCGUGCCUAAUACAUGCAAGUCGAGCGAACAGACGAGGAGCUUGCUCCUCUGACGUUAGCGGCGGACGUGUGAGUAACACGUGGAUAACCUACCUAUAAGACUGGGAUAACUUCGGGAAACCGGAGCUAAUACCGGAUAAUAUAUUGAACCGCAUGGUUCAAUAGUGAAAGACGGUUUUGCUGUCACUUAUAGAUGGAUCCGCGCCGCAUUAGCUAGUUGGUAAGGUAACGGCUUACCAAGGCAACGAUGCGUAGCCGACCUGAGAGGCUGAUCGGCCACACUGGAACUGAGACGCGGUCCAGACUCCUACGGGAGGCAGCAGUAGGGAAUCUUAGGCAGUGGGCGAAAGCAUGACGGAGCAAGGCCGCGUGAGUGAUGAAGGUCUUCGGAUCGUAAAACUGUGUUAUUAGGGAAGAACAAAUGUGUAAGUAACUAUGCACGUCUUGACGGUACCUAAUCAGAAAGCAACGGCUAACUACGUG